rnacentral:rRNA from 1 species
UGGGGAAUAUUGGACAAUGGGCGAAAGCCUGACCCAGCAACGCCGCGUGAAGGAUGAAGUAUUUCGGUAUGUAAACUUCGAAAGAAUAGGAAGAAUAAAUGACGGUACUAUUUAUAAGGUCCGGCUAACCACGUGCCAGCAGCCGCGGUAAUACGUAGGGACCAAGCGUUGUUCGGAUUUACUGGGCGUAAAGGGCGCGUAGGCGGCAUGACAAGUCACUUGUGAAAUCUCUGGGCUUAACCCAGAACGGCCAAGUGAUACUGUCGCGCUAGAGUGCAGAAGGGGCAAUCGGAAUUCUUGGUGUAGCGGUGAAAUGCGUAGAUAUCAAGAGGAACACCUGAGGUGAAGACGGGUUGCUGGGCUGACACUGACGCUGAGGCGCGAAAGCCAGGGGAGCAAACGGGAUUAGAUACCCACGUAGUCCCUGAGCGGGCUGGCAAGGCGCAU